AAGGGCUCGAGAUAGAUUAAAGGCGGAAAAUGUGCAGCUGUGUUCGCGUCAAGAGAUUGACUCGUAUUUCUCAAAUAGGUUGUACAUGUCUGUUGAUGGUUGCGGUCUCCGUGAAGCAGGCCAUUAUGGCCCGCAACAUGGAUGGGUGAGUCAGCCCACGCGCUUGUUAACAGGAAAGGAAUAUUUGCACGGUGUCAAAUUGCGGAUAAAUGCCCUACCCUCGAAGUCUCGUACGACGAGGGGAAGGCACGAAUUGGAGAGACGGUGUCGUGCAGCAUGUGAUGCUCCCGAGACAACAAACCACAUCUUGCAAAAAUGCUAUCGUACGCACGGGAGGCGGGUAGCUAGACACAACAGCGUAGUAAAUGCCGUCAAGCGGGGACUUGAACGGAAAGGCUGCGUUGUCCAUGUCGAACCAAGUCUGCAAUGCGACUCGGGCUUAAAUAAACCGGACCUGGUGGGAAUCCGACAAAAUCACAUUUAUGUGAUAGACGUUCAGUUUGUGACAAACGGACAUUCCUUAGACCAAGCGCACCAGCGCAAGGUCGAAAGGUACGACAGAGCUGACAUAAGAUCACAAAUGCGGCGAUUUUUCGGAGUGACAAGUGAAAUCGAGUUUCAUUCCGUUACACUCAACUGGAGAGGAAUCUGGAGUGGUCAGUCAGUAAAACGAUUGAUUGCAAAAGAUCUCCUCAUCGCUGAAGAUACCAAACUCAUCAGCGUCAGAGCAGUAAAUGGCGAAGUGACGCCUUUUAAAUAUUUCAUGUAUUGUGCUGGGUAUACUCGAAGCUAGAUGUACUAACCUCUAGUUUCUCUAUACUUUUGCCUGCUACCUUGGCAUUACAUCUAAAAAGGUACAAACAUCGCAUUGUCAAAAAGAGGUGGUUUUAGUACGUAGGCGCUGUGGGACUUCAUUGUCCCGAUGAUGCAGCGAAUCGUGCAUACGAGAUUCUCAAGUAGUUGGUUGCUCGUAUCUUUAGAAAAUUUCCUUCCUCGGCGAUCAAAAAAAAAAAAAAAAAAAAAUAGCCAAAUGCCUCGUCAUCAAAUUAGUGACGCGCAUGAAUGGAUUAACGAGAUUCCUACUGUCCCUAUCUACUAUCUAGCGAAACCACAGCCAAGGGAACGGGCUUGGAAUAAUUAGCGGGGAAAGAAGACCCUUUUGAGCUUGACUCUAAUCUGGCAGUGUAAGGAGACAUAAGAGGUGUAGAAUAAGUGGGAGAUAUUAUUCCUUGUGUUUGAUAUCGCCAAUGAAAUACCACUACUCUUAUUGUUUCCUUACUUACUUGAUUAAAUGGAACGCGUAUCAUUUCCUAGCCAUUAUACGGAUAUAUUUAUUAUAUCUUAUGGUAUUGGGUUU
rnacentral:ncRNA from 1 species